GAAAGUUCAGGAAACAGGCCACAAGAGGAGGAAGAAGAAGCGGCAUGCAGCAAGGCGCCAACACAGGGUUUGAAGUAGUGGACUCUACUUUCCGCUGACAACCACUGCGCCAGGGGUUCGAAGUGGUGUGUGCUGACAACCAGUGCGCCAUGGAGAGGUUUUACCUGCAGUGUGGGAAUGACAGUGCCAGAGAAAAGCGAAUUAUUCCCUUGAUAGGCGACGUGGUCACAGUAGGAAGGAAGGAGCUGCUGAGUGCACACAUCUCCCGGAACCAUGCAGCCUUCAGGCGGCAAGGAGAUGGCUGGACCGUUACCUGCCUGGGUCAAAAUAAUAUGGUCAUGAAUGGAAACGUUUUAGUGAGGGAUGUUGAGUACCCACUGAUCCUCGAAUCGGAAAUUAAGUUCACUGAACGGGAUGUGAAUGUUUACAAACUGAAGGUCGCUCGAGCGAAAGGAGGGAGACACCAUGCCAGUACGUCAACAGAAGCCCACAAGAAGCUAAGACAAGAGACUGAAAGUAGUAGUGCGGUGGCAGGCAACAUGCGCAAUGAAUAUAUCGAGCUGGAGCAGCAGCUGAGAGGCAGUGAAGCAUUGCAGAUACAGCUCAUGGAGGAAAGGGAUCAAAUGCACCAGUCCCUUCAAAACCAGCAGACAGAAUUGGAGGAAAAAUAUCAGCAGGAGAAAGCUCAGCUAGAGGAGAAGUUUCAAAGUGGUGCCUUAGCACAGCAGGCAAUGCUGGACGAGAAGGAAGUGCUGGCGCAAAAGUUAAAGGAAGAGGUAUCAAAACUUCAAACACAACUGGAAGAGGAAAGAAAAGCCUUGGAAGAGCGUUUGAAACAAGAGGAGGAUAGGAACAGAGCCCUACAGGAAAAGGAGAAUGAAUUGCGACAGUUGGCGGAAGAGAAGGCCACUUUAGAGGAAAGACAAGAAGAGGAACGCCAGCGGCUCCAGAAGCAACUCCAAGACACUGAGCUCUACAAAGAAGAGUUAAGGCAGCAGGUGGAAGCCAAAAAUUCUGCCAUUCAAGCUAAAGAAGCUGAGUACCUGCAAGCAGAGGAGGAGAAACAGAGGUUGGCGAAUCAACUUGCAGAGGAACGAUUAUCACGAGAAGAGGAAAAAUACAGGUUGCAGGAACAAAUGAUGCAUGCCAAGUCUCAAGAGCAGAAUGAAUUAAAGGAAGCUAUUGAUGCCCUAGAAACUCAAAAGAAGAACCUCAUGGCAGAGUUAUCUUCCUCUGCUACAGAUUUUUCAGAGGCUAAGAAGAAAAUGGUGGCUUCUGUUUCCACUGCCCUUGAAGAUGAAUUUGAAUGUGCAAUAUGCAAUGAGCUCUUCAUCAAUGCUGUUGUCCUGCACUGCAGCCACACCUUCUGUAAAUACUGCAUAGACCGCUGGAAAAAGAACAAAAAGAAUUGUCCCAGUUGCCGUCUCCCAAUAACUUCCGAAUCUCGAUCAUUGGUGGUGGACAAUUUUAUUGAGAAGAUUGUGCCCACACUGUCGGAUGAAAUGAAGAAGAAAAGGGCAGAGCUGGUUGCUGAAAGAAGUGCGAUAUUGAAGGCUGAGGCACAAGCUGCUGCCGCAAACGUCGCUAAUCGAGGAAACAGUGGGCGAGGCAGAGGAAGAGCUAAUAGAGCAAGAGGAAAUCAGAGUGGGCAAACAGUCUUGAGGCAUCCUGCUAAUAUGGUCAACAGAGGGGCAGCUGCUGCAUAUAACUUUGUAAAUAAUCCUGUGCAGUACAUGCCUCGUAUGGGUAAUCAAAUAUUAAGAAUUCAAGUACCUUCUGCUAAUAUCCAAACCUUGGCAACUGAACAUGGGAUAAUAAGGAUUCAUCUGCCAGCAAGCUUAGCCCAAUCGCUGCAGAAUGCUCAGGGCAUAGCCAGGAUGCCGCAGCCACCAGUAAAUGGUCCAACACAGCAGUGAUCUUCAGGCAACACUGUUAUUGGCAAUUUUACAAGUUCUGCCCCACCAACAUCAUAUGUGCCAGGUCGGCGAGGGCACUGGGCCAAUGGAUGUCCUGAAUCUUACUUGUUCUAACAGAGACCUGGUUUACCUUUGGGUUAAUAUGUGCAACAUAUUACAGUCGGUGUCACGUAACCUGGCGCUGAAAUUUUUUUUAGGAGGGACUGGCCAAUGAGUGAUGCAGAAAUCAUUGCCCAAGUAGUGAUGCUAAAAUCUGUAAGUCCCUCCCUAAAAGAAAAUUCUGCACUAGGCUAUGUGACACUGAGUUAUAAUAUUUUCUUCAGAUGAUUCCCUGUACUUUCAGUACAACAUGUAAUUCAUUGCUCAUAGUGCUACUUCUCAUGUGCUGUCUAUGAUUUUUUUUUUUUAUGAAUUUGCAGUCAUUUUCUAAAUGUUUUAUUAAAAAUCAGUAUUGAUUUGCGGCUAUUUCUGUGGUUUUAAAUAGAAUUUGUAACAAUGUAGAUAAAGGAAAUUAUUUUUCUACUUACUCAACCACCACCACCAACAGCAAGAUAAGCAGGAACAGUAACAAUAACAUCAACAUUUUGCCUCCUGCCGUUACUUUCAACAUCAUAAUUUUUAUAUUACAAUACAUAUUCAGUAUGAUCUUCCCCAAAAAAGUCCAAUUAUUUCCUGUAAAAUGCAGUCAUUAGUGAAAAUGUUAUUAGCGUGACACAUAUGCAUGUAUACUGCCACCCCAGGAUAUUCAUCCAUUUUUUCCAUUUGCAACCCAUUCUGACCACCUUUUUUUAGUUGAAAUAAUGAAAACUCUAAGGAGUUAAUGAGGUGUCUGGUGUGAUAGUUGUUUCAAGUCUCAUGCCUGGAUGCUACUGUGGGGUAUCACUCGCCCUGUCCUGUCCCUACCCUUGCUGCUCUUGUCUGUCUCACCCACCUCCAUCAACACAUCAUCAAAGCCAAACUUUUCAUCUACAUGUUAUAGAGGUAGAUCUCCCACAACACCACACAUGCUACUUACGCAUUACUUAUUACUUGCAGAGCUUGAAAAGUUCUGAGCUAGUGGGUGACAUAGCUGCAACCAAGGAUUAGAGACACAAUGCAUCAAGGGUUGUCUAUGACUCGACCCACACAUAAACACAGCAUUGAGUGGAACCAAAACUGUACAAUACACGAGGGCCAAUCUGUGGAAGUGAUCAUAUUAUGCAGAUUAGUCCAGUGAACUAUUAGGAUACCACUCAACACUGUGCUUGCAUUUUUGACAGGAGUCACAGAUGAUGCCUGAUGCAUUGUGGGUGUAACAAUGCUUGAACUAUCCUUAUUGUCUCUUAUCCCUGGUCUUAUCUAGGUCACCCAUAGCUCUAAUUCUCAUGCACUGUGGUUUAAGGUGGUGUUUAUAUUGCAGUGCCAUACUUUCGUUUCUUUAACUUGUAGAUGUGAGGGUUGACUUUGACAGGCUUGAUGUGUUGACAGUCAGGGGUGAGCCAGGUGUGAAAGUGGGGACGUAGCCAUCACCACGGUUGUCUUUAUGUGCAAGUCUAGGAAAAAUCAUCCCACCAAACACCUAAAACUUUGUGGGCGAGAUCCUGCCGUUAUUAGAAUUCCACAAACAUCAUAAUAGCUACACUGUAAUUAAUAUGCUCCUAAGUGAAAGUUAUUUGCAAGAGCAACCAUAUUUCACAUUAUCUGUAGCUAUUUCUGUUUUUUCACCAUUCAUGUCUUGUGCCUCAUACUAUUUUCUUACAUUGCAAUCAUUAAAAUAGAUAAAUGUAAAUGUAUGAGUAAUGAGGUAGCUUAGACGAUAAAGUUUAUAGGAUUGGAUUUGGUGCUUUUUAUAUUAUAUUCUUUUGAUCUUGAUUUGUAUUUACUUGAAGAUCAUGAAAUAAAUCAAAUUAAAGUA